GUGAAGGAGCUCAGUGGACGUAUGAAUGGAGAGCAGCCAAGUUAAACACACCUCCAACAUCCAGUGAAUACAGAAUCACAGUUACUGAGUCUGACAGUGGAGGAUACAGCUGCCGGGGCACAAGGACCUAUUUGUUAACAGAGUGGAGUGAUACCAUCACACUGACUGUAUCAUCGAAACCAAAGGCUGAACUGAGAGCUGAUAGCACAGCUGUUCCAGUAGGGGGCAGUGUGACCCUGACCUGCUCUGUGAGCCCACCAUCAUCAUCGUCAUCAUCGUCAUCUGGAUGGAAAUACUACUGGUACAGAGAUGGGAAAUCUUAUGAAGCUGUGACAAAUGGACAAAUCAGUGUCUCAGAGGGAGGACUCUACAGCUGCAGAGGAGGAAGAGGAGAACCAGUUUACUACACAGAGGACAGUGAGUCAGUCAGGAUUGACACAACUGAUAAACCCCGUCCUGUCCUCACUGUGUCUCCAUCAUGGCUGAGUCCUGGAGCCUCAGUA